AAGAUCUACUGUUUUUUUUUCAGGAUAUUUUCAGAAACUCUAUUGGCGAAACAUAAAAUUUCAUUGACUGAACUAAUCAAAAGGGAUAAGAAUCGACCUAGUGUUAUAAUAUGGAGUGCAGCUAAUGAGCCUAGAACCCAGUAUCUUCAAGCGAAAGAUUAUUUCAGGCAGGUAAUCGAGCAUAUAAAACAAUUAGAUGCAUCUCGACCUACUACGAUUGUUGAGGCCCAGAAUGUUAAUAUUGUUCAAUCGUCAUCAUUUGUAGACAUCAUUAGUUUCAAUCGAUAUAACGGCUGGUAUAGU